rnacentral:rRNA from 1 species
GAGGAAUUUUGCGCAAUGGGGGAAACCCUGACGCAGCAACGCCGCGUGAGUGAUGAAGGCCUUCGGGUCGUAAAGCUCUGUCAAGUGGGAAGAAUCUGUCCGGUGAUAAUACCGCUGGGCAAUGACGGUACCGCUGAAGGAAGCACCGGCUAACUCCGUGCCAGCAGCCGCGGUAAUACGGGGGGUGCUAGCGUUAUUCGGAAUCAUUGGGCGUAAAGGGCGCGUAGGCGGUCUUUUAAGUCAGAUGUGAAAGCCCUCGGCUUAACUGAGGAAGUGCAUUUGAUACUAAAAGACUUGAGUAUGGGAGAGGGAAGCGGAAUUCCUGGUGUAGCGGUGAAAUGCGUAGAUAUCAGGAGGAACACCGGUGGCGAAGGCGGCUUCCUGGACCAAUACUGACGCUGAGGCGCGAAGGCGUGGGGAGCAAAC